AACGAACGCUGGCGGCAUGCCUAACACAUGCAAGUCGAACGAGACCUUCGGGUCUAGUGGCGAACGGGUGCGUAACGCGUGGGAACCUGCCCUUAGGUUCGGAAUAACUCCCCGAAAGGGGUGCUAAUACCGGAGAAUGUCUUCGGACCAAAGAUUUAUCGCCUUUGGAUGGGCCCGCGUUGGAUUAGCUAGUUGGUAGGGUAAAAGCCUACCAAGGCGACGAUCCAUAGCUGGUCUGAGAGGAUGAUCAGCGACACUGGGACUGAGACACGGCCCAGACUGCUACGGGAGGCAGCAGUGGGGAAUAUUGGAGCAUGGGCGAAAGCCUGAUACAGCAAGGCCGCGUGAGUGAUGAAGGCCUUAGGGUUGUAAUGCUCUUUUAACCGGGAUGUUAAUGACGGUACCGGGAGAAUAAGCUCCGGCUAACUCCGUG
rnacentral:rRNA from 1 species